GACGAACGCUGGCGGCGUGCUUAACACAUGCAAGUCGAACGGAAAGGCCCUGCUUUUGUGGGGUGCUCGAGUGGCGAACGGGUGAGUAACACGUGAGUAACCUGCCCUUGACUUUGGGAUAACUUCAGGAAACUGGGGCUAAUACCGGAUAGGAGCUCCUGCUGCAUGGUGGGGGUUGGAAAGUUUCGGCGGUUGGGGAUGGACUCGCGGCUUAUCAGCUUGUUGGUGGGGUAGUGGCUUACCAAGGCUUUGACGGGUAGCCGGCCUGAGAGGGUGACCGGCCACAUUGGGACUGAGAUACGGCCCAGACUCCUACGGGAGGCAGCAGUGGGGAAUAUUGCACAAUGGGCGGAAGCCUGAUGCGGCAACGCCGCGUGCGGGAUGACGGCCUUCGGGUUGUAAACCGCUUUCGCCUGUGACGAAGCGUGAGUGACGGUAAUGGGUAAAGAAGCACCGGCUAACUACGUGCCAGCAGCCGCGGUGAUACGUAGGGUGCGAGCGUUGUCCGGAUUUAUUGGGCGUAAAGGGCUCGUAGGUGGUUGAUCGCGUCGGAAGUGUAAUCUUGGGGCUUAACCCUGAGCGUGCUUUCGAUACGGGUUGACUUGAGGAAGGUAGGGGAGAAUGGAAUUCCUGGUGGAGCGGUGGAAUGCGCAGAUAUCAGGAGGAACACCAGUGGCGAAGGCGGUUCUCUGGGCCUUUCCUGACGCUGAGGAGCGAAAGCGUGGGGAGCGAACAGGCUUAGAUACCCUGGUAGUCCACGCUGUAAACGGUGGGUACUAGGUGUGGGGUCCAUUCCACGGGUUCCGUGCCGUAGCUAACGCUUUAAGUACCCCGCCUGGGGAGUACGGCCGCAAGGCUAAAACUCAAAGGAAUUGACGGGGCCCCGCACAAGCGGCGGAGCAUGCGGAUUAAUUCGAUGCAACGCGUAGAACCUUACCUGGGUUUGACAUGGAUCGGGAGUGCCCAGAGAUGGGUGUGCCUCUUUUGGGGUCGGUUCACAGGUGGUGCAUGGCUGUCGUCAGCUCGUGUCGUGAGAUGUUGGGUUAAGUCCCGCAACGAGCGCAACCCUUGUUCACUGUUGCCAGCACGUUAUGGUGGGGACUCAGUGGAGACCGCCGGGGUCAACUCGGAGGAAGGUGGGGAUGACGUCAAGUCAUCAUGCCCCUUAUGUCCAGGGCUUCACGCAUGCUACAAUGGCUGGUACAGAGAGUGGCGAGCCUGUGAGGGUGAGCGAAUCUCGGAAAGCCGGUCUCAGUUCGGAUUGGGGUCUGCAACUCGACCUCAUGAAGUCGGAGUCGCUAGUAAUCGCAGAUCAGCAACGCUGCGGUGAAUACGUUCCCGGG
rnacentral:rRNA from 1 species